rnacentral:rRNA from 1 species
AUACGGAGGGUGCAAGCGUUAAUCGGAAUUACUGGGCGUAAAGCGCACGCAGGCGGGAUGGUAAGUCAGACGUGAAAUCCCCGGGCGCAACCUGGGAACUGCACCUGAUACUGGCAAGCUUGAGUAUCGUCGAGGGGGGUAGAAUUUCAGGGGGAGCGGUGAAAAGCGUAGAGAUGUGGAGGAAUACCGGUGGCGAAGGCGGCCCCCUGGACGAAGCCUGACGCUCAGGUGCGAAAGCGUGGGGAGCAAACAGGAUUAGAUACCCUGGUAGUCCACGCCGUAAACGAUGUCGACUUGGAGGUUGUGCCCUUGAGGCGUGGCUUCCGGAGCUAACGCGUUAAGUCGACCGCCUGGGGAGUACGGCCGCAAGGUUAAAACUCAAAUGAAUUGACGGGG